UACGGAGGGUGCAAGCAUUAAUCGGAUUUACUGGGCGUAAAGCGUGCGCAGGCGGUGAUGUAAGACCGAUGUGAAAUCCCCGGGCUUAACCUGGGAACUGCAUUGGUGACUGCAUCGCUCGAGUAUGGCAGAGGGGGGUAGAAUUCCACGUGUAGCAGUGAAAUGCGUAGAGGUGUGGAGGAAUACCGAUGGCGAAGGCAGCCCCCUGGGUCAAUACUGACGCUCAUGCACGAAAGCGUGGGUAGCAAACAGG
rnacentral:rRNA from 1 species